UAAGCGGAGGAAAAGAAACCAACAGGGAUUGCCCUAGUAACGGCGAGUGAAGCGGCAACAGCUCAAAUUUGAAAUCUGGCUACAUUCCGUGGUCCGAGUUGUAAUUUGUAGAGGAUGCUUUUGGUGAGGUGCCUUCCGAGUUCCCUGGAACGGGACGCCAUAGAGGGUGAGAGCCCCGUACGGUUGGACACCAAGCCUCUGUAUAGCUCCUUCAACGAGUCGAGUAGUUUGGGAAUGCUGCUCUAAAUGGGAGGUAUAUCUCUUCUAAAGCUAAAUAUAGGCUAGAGACCGAUAGCGCACAAGUAGAGUGAUCGAAAGAUGAAAAGCACUUUGAAAAGAGAGUUAAACAGCACGUGAAAUUGUUGAAAGGGAAGCGCCUAUGACCAGACUUGUUUCUGGCAGUUUCGUUAGCCCUCGGGCUGAUUUACUCUGUCCAGUACAGGCCAGCAUCAGUUUGCUGUCGGGGAGAAAGGCUCUGGGAACGUAGCUCCCUCCUUCGGGGGGGAGUGUUAUAGCCCUCUGCACAAUACCCUUCGGCAGACUGAGGACCGCGCUUCGGCAAGGAUGCUGGCGUAAUGGUCAUCAGCGACCCGUCUUGAAACACGGACCAAGGAGUCAACCUUAUGUGCGAGUGUUUGGGUGUAAAACCCCAGCGCGUAAUGAAAGUGAACGUAGGUGAGAGCUUCGGCGCAUCAUCGACCGAUUCUGAUGUUUUCGGAUGGAUUUGAGUAAGAGCACACAGGGUUGGACCCGAAAGAAGGUGAACUAUGCUUGUAUAGGGUGAAGCCAGAGGAAACUCUGGUGGAGGCUCGCAGCGGUUCUGACGUGCAAAUCGAUCGUCAAAUAUGAGCAUGGGGGCGAAAG
rnacentral:rRNA from 1 species